GACAGAGGGUGCAAACGUUGCUCGGAAUUACUGGGCGUAAAGCGCGUGUAGGCGGUCACGCAAGUCAGGUGUGAAAGCCCUGGGCUCAACCCAGGAAGUGCACAUGAUACUACGUGGCUGGAGUACUGAAGAGGAGAGCGGAAUUCCCGGUGUAGAGGUGAAAUGCGCAGAUAUCAGGAAGAACACCCGUGGCGAAGGCGGCUCUCUGGGACGGUACUGACGCUGAGACGCGAAAGCGUGGGGAGCGAACAGG
rnacentral:rRNA from 1 species